AGAGUUUGAUCCUGGCUCAGGACGAACGCUGGCGGCGUGCUUAACACAUGCAAGUCGAACGGAAAGGCCCUUCGGGGUACUCGAGUGGCGAACGGGUGAGUAACACGUGGGUGAUCUGCCCUGCACUUUGGGAUAAGCCUGGGAAGCUGGGUCUAAUACCGAAUAUGACCACGCUCUUCAUGGGGUGUGGUGGAAAGCUUUUGCGGUGUGGGAUGGGCCCGCGGCCUAUCAGCUUGUUGGUGGGGUAAUGGCCUACCAAGGCGACGACGGGUAGCCGGCCUGAGAGGGUGACCGGCCACACUGGGACUGAGAUACGGCCCAGACUCCUACGGGAGGCAGCAGUGGGGAAUAUUGCACAAUGGGCGCAAGCCUGAUGCAGCGACGCCGCGUGAGGGAUGACGGCCUUCGGGUUGUAAACCUCUUUCACCAGGGACGAAGCGCAAGUGACGGUACCUGGAGAAGAAGCACCGGCCAACUACGUGCCAGCAGCCGCGGUAAUACGUAGGGUGCGAGCGUUGUCCGGAAUUACUGGGCGUAAAGAGCUCGUAGGUGGUUUGUCGCGUUGUUCGUGAAAACUCACAGCUUAACUGUGGGCGUGCGGGCGAUACGGGCAGACUAGAGUACUGCAGGGGAGACUGGAAUUCCUGGUGUAGCGGUGGAAUGCGCAGAUAUCAGGAGGAACACCGGUGGCGAAGGCGGGUCUCUGGGCAGUAACUGACGCUGAGGAGCGAAAGCGUGGGGAGCGAACAGGAUUAGAUACCCUGGUAGUC
rnacentral:rRNA from 1 species